AUUGAACGCUGGCGGCAUGCCUUACACAUGCAAGUCGAACGGCAGCGGGGGAGAAGCUUGCUUUUCCUGCCGGCGAGUGGCGAACGGGUGAGUAAUACAUCGGAACGUGCCCUGUAGUGGGGGAUAACUAGUCGAAAGAUUAGCUAAUACCGCAUACGACCUGAGGGUGAAAGUGGGGGACCGCAAGGCCUCAUGCUAUAGGAGCGGCCGAUGUCUGAUUAGCUAGUUGGUGGGGUAAAGGCCUACCAAGGCGACGAUCAGUAGCUGGUCUGAGAGGACGAUCAGCCACACGGGGAGUGAGACACGGCCCAGACUCCUACGGGAGGCAGCAGUGGGGAAUGUUGGACAAUGGGCGAAAGCCUGAUCCAGCAAUGCCGCGUGUGUGAAGAAGGCCUUCGGGUUGUAAAGCACUUUUGUCCGGAAAGAAAUGGCUCUGGUUAAUACCUGGGGUCGAUGACGGUACCGGAAGAAUAAGGACCGGCUAACUACGUGCCAGCCGCCGCGGUAA
rnacentral:rRNA from 1 species